rnacentral:rRNA from 1 species
CCUACGGGCGGCAGCAGUGGGGAAUAUUGGACAAUGGGGGGAACCCUGAUCCAGCCAUGCCGCGUGUGUGAAGAAGGCCCUCGGGUUGUAAAGCACUUUCAGUGAGGAAGAACGCCUGGUGGUUAAUACCCAUCAGGAAGGACAUCACUCACAGAAGAAGCACCGGCUAACUCCGUGCCAGCAGCCGCGGUAAUACGGAGGGUGCGAGCGUUAAUCGGAAUUACUGGGCGUAAAGCGCGCGUAGGUGGCUUGAUAAGCCGGUUGUGAAAGCCCCGGGCUCAACCUGGGAACGGCAUCCGGAACUGUCAAGCUAGAGUGCAGGAGAGGAAGGUAGAAUUCCCGGUGUAGCGGUGAAAUGCGUAGAGAUCAGGAGGAAUACCAGUGGCGAAGGCGGCCUUCUGGACUGACACUGACACUGAGGUGCGAAAGCGUGGGUAGCAAACAGGAUUAGAUACCCCUGUAGUC